rnacentral:rRNA from 1 species
GAUGAACGCUGGCGGCGUGCCUAAUACAUGCAAGUCGAGCGAACAGAUGAGGAGCUUGCUCCUCUGACGUUAGCGGCGGACGGGUGAGUAACACGUGGAUAACCUACCUAUAAGACUGGGAUAACUUCGGGAAACCGGAGCUAAUACCGGAUAAUAUAUUGAACCGCAUGGUUCAAUAGUGAAAGACGGUUUUGCUGUCACUUAUAGAUGGAUCCGCGCCGCAUUAGCUAGUUGGUAAGGUAACGGCUUACCAAGGCAACGAUGCGUAGCCGACCUGAGAGGGUGAUCGGCCACACUGGAACUGAGACACGGUCCAGACUCCUACGGGAGGCAGCAGUAGGGAAUCUUCCGCAAUGGGCGAAAGCCUGACGGAGCAACGCCGCGUGAGUGAUGAAGGUCUUCGGAUCGUAAAACUCUGUUAUUAGGGAAGAACAAAUGUGUAAGUAACUGUGCACGUCUUGACGGUACCUAAUCAGAAAGCCACGGCUAACUACGUG